AUUGAACGCUGGCGGCAGGCCUAACACAUGCAAGUCGAGCGGAUGAAGGGAGCUUGCUCCUGGAUUCAGCGGCGGACGGGUGAGUAUUGCCUAGGAAUCUGCCUGGUAGUGGGGGAUAACGUCCGGAAACGGGCGCUAAUACCGCAUACGUCCUGAGGGAGAAAGUGGGGGAUCUUCGGACCUCACGCUAUCAGAUGAGCCUAGGUCGGAUUAGCUAGUUGGUGGGGUAAAGGCCUACCAAGGCGACGAUCCGUAACUGGUCUGAGAGGAUGAUCAGUCACACUGGAACUGAGACACGGUCCAGACUCCUACGGGAGGCAGCAGUGGGGAAUAUUGGACAAUGGGCGAAAGCCUGAUCCAGCCAUGCCGCGUGUGUGAAGAAGGUCUUCGGAUUGUAAAGUACUUUAAGUUGGGAGGAAGGGCAGUAAGUUAAUACCUUGCUGUUUUGACGUUACCAACAGAAUAAGCACCGGCUAACUUCGUG
rnacentral:rRNA from 1 species